rnacentral:rRNA from 1 species
CGUAGGUGAACCUGCGGAGGGAUCAUUAACGAGUUAGGGUCUCACCGGCCCGACCUCCC